AUAUGCAACCAUCUCACUCUGCAACUCACAACUGGCAACCCACUGAAGCUAAGCAGGUGUGAGCCUGGUCAGUACGUGGAUGGGAGACCUCUUGGGAAAAACUAAGGUUGCUGCUGGAA
rnacentral:rRNA from 1 species